GCAGAGGAGACGACUGGCGUUUGACGCCUUGCAAGAAGAGAGGGGAAAACCAAGUUCCCAGAGAGGGUCACGAUUGGUCGCGCUUCUUGUGACGUCCAAUGGCAGAGGCCAAAGGGAUUCCAAGGGCAGUAUCGCGGGAAAGAGGCGAGGCAGCCUGACGUCCGUUACCCAAAUUAUAGCUCUGGUCGCCUCUGAAAUUGUCUUAGUUUCUCUUUUUGACCUCUUUGUCCCCUAAUCCUCUUCCAAUAUGAUGUAAGGCCAGAGACUUUAAUUCCUUGUAACCCCAUGGCCUCCCACAUAGUAGGCGCUCAAGUAUUCCCCGAAAUAAUAAUACUCCGAGCUGACCUCGCAUAUGAAAAUAACGAAACCGCAGGUGACAGACAACAGCUAAACAUUUGUUAGACAUUUACGAUGUGCCAGGUACUGGAUUUUACAUGGAUAAUCUUGCUCCUCAGAACACCACGAUGAGGUGUAUGUUAUUAGAAUGCUUAUUUUCCAGGUUCUUGCUGGGCUCUUUCUCCCUGUGGUUUGCUGAACCAAUCACCUAACCCAAAGCCUCAAGCUUUUAAUCAGCAAAAGUGUUUUGCAGGAGGCUGAAGAGCCACCUCACAGAGAUUUCUGCCUCAUCCCAGAACAAGAAAACCCAGACAUUCCCUGACCCUCAAGCCAGGCCUGUCAAUACGGAAGCCAUAAAACUGAAAACCAAAUAUCCCAGUGGACAAAGAACAUCUCCAAGUCCCCGUGAUGCUAGGACCUGACAUCUCUUGCUUCCCCUGUUGGCACUUCAGAAAUUCCCCAACCUGAUUAACACAGCCCUGGGAAAGGGAGAGGGCCUCAGUUGAUAAGAUUAUUGUCACUGCAGCUGAGUGAGGGCUUGAAAAAGAAAGAAAGCUCAGUUACAGAAAACCUUCUGUUUGUUACCUAUUUGAGUUUGUAGACUGAAGUUCAUUCCUGCUAUGCUGUUACCUGUGAGUGUGAACUAGUAGCCACUAGUUUUUAAGUUCAGUAAUAUAAGAAUUUUCCCAUUACUCAAA